GGUUGCUAUAAGAAGAAGGAAGAGUCAGUGCUUAGAGGAGCUGCCUGUGAGAAACAUCGAGGAGGACUCAAGAAAACAGCAUGAUGAUGAGUUAGAGGAAGUUUAAGUUGGAUUUCAGGAAAAGUUUUUUUGCCCGUGGGAUAUUUGCUCUCUGGAACAGGCUCCCCAGGGCCGAAAAAUGCACACAAUAUUCAAGGCAAGGCUGCACUAGUGCAGAGUGGGACAAUCCCUUCCUUAUUGCUGGAUUUCUCUCUUACUGACUGAAUCCAAUUUGGUUAAGUUUUUAAAGUAAAACUGUAGGGGUUUUAAUGAAAUUUUAUGAGUGAAAUAAUUUUAUGAAUUAAAUGAUAAAGGAUAUUUCAACAAUUGGCAGAAAAAUGAAGACUCUUCACAGCCUGAAAUUUUCCUGAACAAAAAAACAUCUAAAGUUUCUCCAGCUCCCAAAGAGGCUAUUUUACAGUUCUCUGAUUUCUGCUGGGAAGUUUGUGAAGUCUGUGAUUUUGGGUGUUACAUUUUGUAAUGAGAAAGGCAAGAAGAACUGACUGAUGAGAGACCUCUAGGAGGUACCUUACCUGAUACUAACCUUUAACCUUCAAAAAUGUACCCGCAGCAGGAGAGUUGCUUCUGUUCUUUAAAUCCACAGACACAUAUACAUAGCUGCAACCAGCAGUCACAGAAACAGCUUAUUUUCACUUUUUAAUCGCAGGCUUCAAAAAUACCCUAUCACCUUGUUGUGCUAUCACAUUAUUCAAAGAAUAUUUUGUAUUCGUUCAUUUUGUA